rnacentral:rRNA from 1 species
CCUACGGGAGGCAGCAGUGGGGAAUAUUGGGCAAUGGACGCAAGUCUGACCCAGCAACGCCGCGUGAAGGAAGAAGGCUUUCGGGUUGUAAACUUCUUUUAAGGGGGAAGAGCAGAAGACGGUACCCCUUGAAUAAGCCACGCCUAACUACGUGCCAGCAGCAGCGGUAAUACGUAGGUGGCAAGCGUUGUCCGGAUUUACUGGGGGUAAAGGGCGUGCAGCCGGAGAGGCAAGUCAGAUGUGAAAUCCGCGGGCUCAACUCGCGAACUGCUUUUGAAACUGCUUCCCUUGAGUAUCGGAGAGGUAAGCGGAAUGUCAGGGGAAGCGGUGAAAUGCGUAGAUAUAAGGAAGAACACCAGAGGCGAAGGCUGAUUACUGG